UUGUUUGUCCCACAUCGGUUGUUCCAGAAAUAUCACUUGAGUAUAUAUUAAGUCCUGAACCAUCACAGUGUACAACAGUCAUUGGACAAAGUGAAUGGGUCAUAUGGGCUUGCCUAAGUUCCGACCCAGGAAAGUCCCCGGGCCACUAUCCGCAGAGAUGCGGCCUCGGUAACGAGAGAAUCAUACGGUAGAGAGGUCCUAAAAGCUGAGACGCGUGUGUGGAGCUUCUGUGGUCUCUCCGCCGAUGAUAUCAUGGCCGUUCGUUUCACGACAGUUAUUCACUUGGUCCUCGGACUAACUGAACGGGGCUUAUGUUCCAAUGACAACAACUUUUUUCCUUAAUUCAUUUAGUUCAAUCGCUCUUUGAGGCUUCUUCUCCAGGGUUUUAGGUUUUACAUGAAAUCUUAGGUCAGAACUUCGAUUUUGGGGAUUUGUUCAUCUCUUGAAUGUGCAGAGAAAUGAAGAAAAAGAUUGAGAUGGGGAAAGUUGUUACCGGAUUUUUUGGUGAGACUAUUGAUAUUGCUGUUGGGAAUUGCUUGGACCGGUUUGUUAGAGUCUUGAAGCUGUCUAAUGAUCCAAGUCUUGGCUAUUACAUAUACAUCGAGCAGCUCGCUAAGAAAGGAGAAAUUUUAUCGAUAUUCUGUAUGCUGUUAAAGGUAUGGAUGUUUCGUUAAGCGGAAUCUUGAGUUAUAUCAAAACUACCGCAGAGGAGAAGCUCAAGAAUAACGAGUGCACACCAGCUGACUUGUGCUAUUCUCUUCAAGUAAAGGCUACCACUGGAGACGGUGUUUGCGAUGUUGGUUGAGAUAACGGAAAGAGCGAUGGCGCAAUGCGACAAGAAAGACGUUCUGAUAGUUGGUACUGUCGGUUGCAAAUUGCAAUGAGCGUUUGCAGGAGAUGAUGAGGACUAUAUGCUCUGGACGUGACGGUAAGUUGUUUGCAACAGAUGACCGAUGCUGCAUUGAUAAUGGAACGAUGAUCGCUUACGCGGGUCUACUCGGAUUUGUUAAAGGUAUUGAAACGCCAAUUCAAGAAUCCACCUUUACGCAGUGGUUUCGUACAGACGAGGUUCACGCGGUUUGGCUGGUGAAUGAAGACUCAGUGCUUAGGGAUAAGAACGUUGCUAUCAAUUGAUCCGUUUUGAGGAGGAGUCUAUCUCUAUCAAAUUAGUUUUUGUCAAGUUUAAAUGUGUUUUUAUAUGUGAAAUGUUAUGAGUUAUGACUUUUAGCCACCACUCCGCCACCAAUAACAGUGUGAUGGCAUCAUGGCAGCCAUAACAAUGUCCAUAGCUGUUGUUUAAGUGUUACAAUUGUGAUGUGAAAGACAUAUUUUGUUAAGUAAAAACGUCUUGAAAUCAAACAAUCUGUUACUAUAAAAAAAAAUUUGUAUUGC